GAUGAACGCUGGCGGCGUGCUUAACACAUGCAAGUCGAACGAUGAAGCCCAGCUUGCUGGGUGGAUUAGUGGCGAACGGGUGAGUAACACGUGAGUAACCUGCCCUUGACUCUGGGAUAAGCCUGGGAAACUGGGUCUAAUACCGGAUAGGAACGUCCACCGCAUGGUGGUUGUUGGAAAGAUUUAUCGGUCAUGGAUGGACUCGCGGCCUAUUAGCUUGUUGGUGAGGUAAUGGCUCACCAAGGCGACGACGGGUAGCCGGCCUGAGAGGGUGAACGGCCACAAUGGGACUGAGACACGGCCCAGACUCCUACGGGAGGCAGCAGUGGGGAAUAUUGCACAAUCGGCGAAAGCCUGAUGCAGCGACGCAGUGUGAGGGAUGACGGCCUUCGUGUCGUAAACCUCUUUCAAUAGGGAAGAAGCGAAAGUUACGGUACCUGCAGAAGAAGCACCGGCUAACUACGUGCCAGCCGCCGCAUUAA
rnacentral:rRNA from 1 species